rnacentral:rRNA from 1 species
GGAUGACGGCCCUCUGGGUUGUAAACUGCUUUUAUCUGGGACGAAAAACGGACUUUCUAGUUCACUUGACGGUACCAGAGGAAUAAGCACCGGCUAACUCCGUGCCAGCAGCCGCGGUAAUACGGAGGGUGCAAGCGUUAUCCGGAUUUACUGGGUUUAAAGGGUGCGUAGGUGGGUAGGAAAGUCAGUGGUGAAAUCUUCAAGCUUAACUUGGAAACUGCCAUUGAUACUAUUUAUCUUGAAUACUUUGGAGGUAAGCGGAAUAUGUC